GCGUUCAUAGCUCAGUUGGUUAGAGCACCACCUUGACAUGGVVVUGGUUAGAGCACCACCUUGACAUGGUGGGGGUCGAUGGUUCGAGUCCAUUCAGACGCACCA
rnacentral:tRNA from 1 species